rnacentral:rRNA from 1 species
AGAGUUUGAUCCUGGCUCAAAUGAACGUUGGCGGCGUGGAUUAGGCAUGCAAGUCGAGGGAGAACCCGCAAGGGGGACACCGGCGAACGGGGUAGGAUCACGUAGGUGACGUACCCCCAGGGCGAGGAUAGCCACGGGAAACUGUGGGUAAUACUCGAUAACCUUCCCGAUCAUGAUCGAAUGGGAAGCAAUGGGUGUGAUUCCACCUGGGGGGCGGCUUACGCAGUAUCAGCUAGUUGGUGAGGUAACGGCCCACCAAGGCUAUGACGCUUAGGGGGUGUGAGAGCAUGGCCCCCACCACUGGCACUGAGACACUGGCCAGACACCUACGGGUGGCUGCAGUCGAGAAUCUUCGGCAAUGGACGAAAGUCUGACCGAGCGACGCCGCGUGCGGGAUGAAGGUCUUCGGAUUGUAAACCGCUGUCAGAGGGGAUGAAGUAUACGAGAGCUAUCUCUUGUAUUUGACAGAGCCUCAGAGGAAGCACGGGCUAAGUUCGUGCCAGCAGCCGCGGUAAUACGAACUGUGCGAACGUUAUUCGGAAUCACUGGGCUUAAAGGGUGCGUAGGCGGUUUUCUAAGUCACGUGUGAAAUCUUCCGGCUCAACCGGAAAACUGCGCGUGAUACUGGAGAACUUGAGUGAGGUAGGGGUGUGUGGAACUUCCGGUGGAGCGGUGAAAUGUGUAGAGAUCGGAAGGAACGCCAGCAGCGAAAGCGGCACACUGGGCCUUGUCUGACGCUGAGGCACGAAAGCUAGGGAAGUGAACGGGAUUAGAUACCCCGGUAAUCCUAGCCGUAAACACUGAACACUGGAGGAAGGGGGUUUCGGCCUUCUUUCUCGUAGCGAAAGCGUUAAGUGUUCCGCCUGGGGAGUAUGGUCGCAAGGCUGAAACUCAAAGGAAUUGACGG